AUUGGGUUUAAAGGGAGCGUAGGCUGGAGAUUAAGUGUGUUGUGAAAUGUAGACGCUCAACGUCUGACUUGCAGCGCAUACUGGUUUCCUUGAGUACGCACAACGUUGGCGGAAUUCGUCGUGUAGCGGUGAAAUGCUUAGAUAUGACGAAGAACUCCGAUUGCGAAGGCAGCUGACGGGAGCGCAACUGACGCUGAAGCUCGAAGGUGCGGGUAUCGAACAGGAUUAGAUACCCUGGUAGUCCGCACAGUAAACGAUGGAUGCCCGCUGUUGGUACCUGGUAUCAGCGGCUAAGCGAAAGCAUUAAGCAUCCCACCUGGGGAGUACGCCGGCAACGGUGAAACUCAAAGGAAUUGACGGGGGCCCGCACAAGCGGAGGAACAUGUGGUUUAAUUCGAUGAUACGCGAGGAACCUUACCCGGGCUUGAAUUGCAGAGGAAGGAUUUAGAGAUAAUGACGCCCUUCGGGGUCUCUGUGAAGGUGCUGCAUGGUUGUCGUCAGCUCGUGUCGUGAG
rnacentral:rRNA from 1 species